GCUGCACCAGUGGGAAAACAAAAGAAUAUUCUACAUGGGCGGCAUCCACUCAGAGCAGCACCGAGGAGGAAAAGCUGUUCAUGGUUCGAGUACAGAUGGAAUGAAUGAACUCUGAACUACAAAUGAGGAAGUCUGAGGCUUCGAUUCUGAUUCUGCCUCUAAUGACCUUGGAGAAGUCAAUAAACUUAAUAAAUUCUUCUGAUUCCAAGAAGUGGCAUUUCAAAACGGAGACCGGAUUCUCUUCUGGAAGCUGUCCCAUUACAGCAAACCACUUUACACCCAUACCACAGCCUGCAAAAUUCUCAGCAAGGAAGUCUCUUGCCAAAUCA
rnacentral:lncRNA from 1 species